UGCGCGAGGGCCGUGUGUCUUACGUGUGCGUGGAACACUUUUUCCGCCCGCACCGCCGCAAGAGGAAGAAGAGGAAAUUCGUGCGGGAUUCGACGCUCGUUUUCGGAAGCUUUUCGGCUCCGUUUUGUGCGGUUAUUAACGACGCGGGGACAACGAGUACCGAAGCCAUCUAGCCCCCCCUCCCCUUCUUCCCCCCCCCCCCCCCCCCUUCCACGCGGCGUGAUUUCGAGGAAAGAGGCUCGCUUUUCCCUUGUCGUUAUCGUUUUUCUUGGCCUAUGCACGGAUUCUCCUGCUGAUAGUAUUCCGUGGGAAGACGAGAGGUAGAAAAAAGGGGUGGGGGUGCGUGUGUGUGACGAGAGGAGGAGGAGGGGGGUGGGGGGGUCUCUCCACGGUGAGUUGUAGCUUCUUUUUAUGCGUAAAUCUCGCGCGAAAACUUGAUUCCACGCGUGGAGAACAGACCGUGGAUGGGUUGCUGGAGUGGUGGGUGGACUUGAAGAGGAUAAAGUGCACCUUAUUUGGCCACUUAAUGGGUAUCCGAUGAUAGGGAGGAGGAGGAGGAGGAGGAGGAGGGAGGAGGGAGGGGUGUCGUGGGGCGGGUGUGGGGUUACAUUUUCACGUUGCGGGCGUGUGCGUGCAGCCAAGCCUGUUGUGCAAUCGAACAAGUCGUCAGUGUUGCGCCGCGAGCUGGCAGGAAAGAGAGACUCCGGGCGGGCUGGCUGGCGUGGAGGAGGCGCAUAGGCCGCGCGCACUCCUUCUCCUUCGCCAGCUUCCUUGUAGACAUGGCGGAGAGAGACAGAAAGAGAGAGAGAAAGGGGAAGAAGCAGGUCUGGCUCCCAAAAUGAAAUGGCAUCUUCCUUGGCCCAUUCCUUACCCACUCUACAAAGUUUUGUGGUAACUGGUGAAGCAACAUUAGUGAAACUAACAAGAAAGAAACCUCCUUGCAUGGUGGAGGUAAUAAACCUCGACCAGCACUCCAUAGAAUUCUACCAAGACCUAAAAAAAAAAAAAUUUUUUAAAAACUUGAUUUUUGUCAUUGUUUUAAUGCUUUUUCUCAACUCAGAAAUUAAUGAAAGUAUCGUGUAAACAUUAAAAUAUUCCACAUCCACAACUUUUCCAUGGGUCCACCUCUUCACAAAGUUUUAUGGCUACAAAACGUUAACAAAAGUGAUCAAAUUGUUGAGUUGAAGUCGUUUUUGGCACGCCAUAAAAGUCCAGACCAGAGUUUCAAAUUGCAAACCUCAUACAGAUUAUAGACCACCUGCAAAAACUAAAAUGUCCUCAAUAUUCAUGGGCUCAGAUGAAAUCACUGAGAGGUUAAGGAAAAGUGCAUGUUAACCAAAUAAGUGGCCAAAAAAAUGAUGCUUUUGCAGGAUUUGCACUAGAAUGAUACUCAAAAGUGCUACAUUGAUCUCUUCAUAAAACUGUGUGACAAUCGGAGUAGUUUUUGUAUAAUUCUGCAAACUCACAAUGAAAGUGUAUGCACGGGUCCCUUAAAUAUUAGCAAAAGUGAUAAAAACAAAUUCCCUUCAUUUUUUUUUUUGCCCGGGACUAAAACCCUGCCAAGGCCUAAUAAUCCUUAUUUGGAUCAAAUGUACCAAAUCGGACACAUUUUACAGAUCCUAAAAGUUGCAUAGUCUUGGAAUGUCAUGCAUUUACUGAAAAACGAAGGAAAUUGAGCCCAGCAAUGUCCCAUUUGCACACUUUUCAAGAAGAAUGUGGCGUUCCCCAGUAUUGGCUUGCUUCAGUGGUUGGGAAUCCACACCAAAAAGAAAAGAAACAUUUGAAGUAGUUUUUGUGUGGCCUUAACUUACAAAACAUUAUAAAAUUAACCUCCAUGGCUGAGGUGAAAUUUGUGUUUAUCACAUUCAACAGUAACAUGAGGUUUAUUUACACCCACCGCCCUCACCCGUGUGUUGUUGUGUCAUCAAACACGGUGACACGGGAGUGGGAGCUUUUGCUCAAAGGAAGAAGUGGAGUGCAGCAGGAGGGUGAGGGUGGGCCUCUCUGUUUUUCAGCAUCCUUGUAGUGUAUAGCAAGUCUGGGGGGAGCUGGGGGGCGUUAGGGGAGGAAUGUAGGCCCCUCGCCCUCCCCCAACCGUCCCUCUUGUCGUCCUUUUCUCUCUCUAAGGUUGUGUUGAGAUUAGGUGUCAGUGCUCCCGUUUGUGCCUCAUGUUUGAACCCCGAGGGAGACCUCCCGAGCAAAGAGCCUUGUUUGUUUGCACCUUGCUAAAAGACCCUUCCCCCCCCCCCCCCCAAGACCACCGGUGCAUAUAGCUUAAAAAAAUCCAAUGUCUUGGUCAUGACGCUAACUGACUCAUUUACUUGUUUCUGCAAUUGCACACCACUAUGGUCGGAAAAGUGUUGGCCGAGGGCCCCCCUGAAAAAGAAAGAGAAGCCGCCGCAAGUCACUUGACUGUGUGAAAUUCCGCCCCUGUGCAAGAACGUGACUUGUUUGGGCUUGCUUGCAAUGCUUGCUGGGAAAUCCUGGAAUGUGUGGAAUGGGGGACGGUGGUGCUUGUGCAUCUGCAGUCCACACAAGAGCGCACAGUAUCCUGCCAUGAGAGCCACACAUGGCUGCUAAGAAGCACUUCCAAGUGCAAAAGAGUAACACUAACAACUGUUAAAACGAAAGCUUCAUAUUUUUUUUUACUUAAAUGUGUUUGUACAUGUACUUUUGUAUUUGUGCUUCAUUAAAGCUGAAAAAAACCCA